GGCGAGUGCCGCCGUUCCUUGGUAGCCGCUUUUCUGUGCGCGGCUCGGCCCCGGGUGGAGGCUGCCGGGCUCCUGGACGAGUCCGCGCGCGAUGUGGGCCCGGCGCUGUGCGCCUGCGGCCAGGGGUUGGCGGCUCCGCGGGGGAGCUACAGCCCUGAGGUGAAGACCGCAGACGAGCUGCGGGUGCAGCACCUGGAGGAGACCCGAAGUGAGGGACACGGCGCUGGCGGCCGCCAGUCCUAGGAAGGGGUCGCGAGGUCGAGUGUCGGGCUGCCGUCAGUGUCCGCCCGGCUGCCAGGUGGAGGCUGCUCCCCUCCCCUAGUCGCGUCGCGCCCGUGUAGCGCUUUCUGUGCCUAAAGGGGUGCUACUGGGCAGCCCGCCUGCCUGCCGGUGCGGCCUCACUCCGCGCCGUGGACAGAAAUGCGCUUUACGCCCUCACCUCUAGACGGCCAAGGCGAGUCCAAACUUCAGUGCUCUCAGCAGCCUGCUGAGAAGAUGAGAACUCUCCCGGGUCAGAGGAGCCCCAAACUGCCCUCUGCUCCCUAGGCCUCUUUAGGCUGGUGGAUGUAGAGGAAGAUGACCUUUCCCAGGUUCCAUCAGUGUAAAGUGGGACUAUGAGUCUGGCUUCUGGUCAGCAGAAAGUGGAUCCAAGUAAAAUAUAAUCUCCAGUUCUCCUGUUGUCUCUGAAUGGAUGCAGAAGACCCCAUGGAAGACUAAGGCCAAAACGAUGGCAAAGCUACCGGAGGGAGGGAAUUUUGGUCACCAUAUACUGUUACGAGGAAAACUGCCUGUUAAAAGUCAUUUGUAUUGUGAUGUGAGAGAGAAAACUUUCUGUCUUCAACAACUGAGAAACUCUGCAAUAAUUAUAAGAAAAUGGAGAUGAAGACCAUCUCUGACCUGAUCCUGACUUUAUUGAAAAAGACAUAGUGUUUUCUACUAUUCAGUGUUCUAAUAUAAAGAUCUAUAUUAUUUGUCAUGAUAAUUUUAUACUUUUUUUUUCAAGAAUGGGUAUUGAAUAUGAGAAUAUGAUAUACAUUGUUUUUCUCUGACCUAUUCAAUAAACUGUAUACAUUGAUUUUCUAACAUUAAACUAUUCUCCUAUUCCCUAGUUGGUUUUACUAAUUCAAUUCUUGGAAAAUAAUGUCUUCCAUUUACUGACUGAGGAACUUAUGUAUCUACUUUUAUGGAAUUUAUACAUCUGUAAUUUAGUUAAAAUUUGAGCUUCAGGUUGGGUUGUAUAUAUUAAAUUUUGCUGUCCAUAUUGUUUUGAGUUUCACUGAAUUCCAGAGUUUUUCACUGAUUAUCUAGUUUGGAGUUAAAGUUGUUCCCUUGUUGUGGCCCAGUGAUAGUGAAUAGUUGAAUAUUAUGAAGUAACAUAAAUAAGCGUUAACAGAUUUGUCUCCAUUCUGCAUAAGAAUUUGACCUCCAGUAAAGCUUCUAGAUCUGAGUCCCUGAGACAUGAUAGAAGAAUGUCAUCAAGCCCCAGCUGCACUGCUCAUUGUGACACUCAGCUGUAAACGUGCAUCUGAGCUAGGAGAAUUAUAAAUGCUGAGUCACACACUUGGCCUUCCCUGAGUGCGCUGACUCCUAUCAUUGCAAUCUCCCUUGCAGACACCCUAGAGAUAUGCCUAGCAGAUAUUACGAGAGAUUUUGGCUCCUGUGCAUCCUGAGGCUUUCAAGUCAAGGGUUCACCCAAAUCAACCAAUGAGUUUCUCAUCUCUUUGCUCCUGGGGACAAAAAUCUAUUUGUGGACUACUGCAGGGAUUACCACAGAAGGGAAUGGACGGCAUGUUGUGCUUCUCAUCCUGUAUCUUCCUGAGGGAUUGUGUGCCAAGAUGGGCCAAUGGUAAUCUGAUGUUGAACUGAGCUUCAGAAGAAGACCCUUUGAUGGAUGUUGGACACUGUCCUGAAGCACAGUGUCCUUCCUCCCCAGGGCCCUAAUGUAGCUCAUGGAUGGAAUCACUAGAGACCACACUGAUGAUUCUGUGACGCAGCACUUCCGUGCCUUGCUGCCUCGGUCCACAGUCAGUAUGCGACGGAGGCUGAUCACUGUGUUGGGGGAUGGUCACUCCACCUCCCAUUUCCGCUUCUUGUGGUACAGCUUUCACUUCCUCCUGUCUGGAGUACUUGUAGCUGCCUUGAGGAAUGCCCCUCACUCCACACUGACAAGAAAUUAGCCGUGGUUACUGUAAAGCCUUUAUUUGAUAAGUUCAAUGUCUAAAUUACUUGUGGCUUUAUUUUCAUUAUCUGAUAUUAUUUUGGUUAUCAGUUAUUUGAUCUUGUUUUCAGACAUGCCUGGUGAUUUUGUUGGAGUGUCUGAAUUUUCAAUUUAAAUGACUAUUUUACAUUUCUUGAAGUUCUAUUGGCUAUUUUGCAAAUCUGUCUUUUUCUUUGAUUAUAAUGUCUAUUUCUUCUUUUACAUUUAUGGUUAAUUAAAAAUAAUUCAUAUUUUAAAAUAAUAUACUUAGUUGGCUUCUUUGA